rnacentral:rRNA from 1 species
UACGGGGGGAGCAAGCGUUGUUCGGAUUUACUGGGCGUAAAGGGCUCGUAGGCGGCCAACUAAGUCAGACGUGAAAUCCCUCGGCGUUAACCGGGGAACUGCGUCUGAUACUGGAUGGCUGGAGUUUGGGAGAGGGAUGCGGAAUUCCAGGUGUAGCGGUGAAAUGCGCAGAUAUCCGGAGGAACACCAGUGGCGAAAGCGGUCUCCUGGACAGCCCCUGGACGCUCAAGCGCGAAAGCGAGGGGAGCGAACGGGAGUUAGAAA